UACAGAGGUCUCAAGCGUUGUUCGGAUUCAUUGGGCGUAAAGGGUGCGUAGGCGGCGCGGUAAGUCGGGUGUGAAAUCUUGGAGCUUAACUCCGAAACUGCAUUCGAUACUGCCGUGCUUGAGGACUGGAGAGGAGACUGGAAUUUACGGUGUAGCGGUGAAAUGCGUAGAUAUCGGGAGGAACACCAGUGGCGAAGGCGACUACCUGGCCUGUUCUUGACGCUGAGGCGCGAAAGCUAGGGGAGCAAACGGG
rnacentral:rRNA from 1 species